rnacentral:sRNA from 1 species
AUACCGGUAGGUAAGGCUACUAUGGAGGAUACGGACUGCUGCCGCAAAAUUAUGGAGACAUAAUGCGUAGGUUUGAACAGGCUUUGUCGAAUCAAGGCAUAGCAUAAUGUAGUUUCAUCGCCCCACAGAGUUAAAGCCCAAACGGUG